UUUUCCUGUAAAUACGGCGGUGAAGUUAGUUUCAGGUUGGAUAUAUUUUUCUGUAAAUACGGCGGUGAAGUUAGUUUUAGGUUGGAUAUAUUUUCCUGUAAAUAUGGCGGUGAAGUUAGUUUCAGGUUGGAUAUAUUUUCCUGUAAAUACGGCGGUGAAGUUAGUUUUAGGUUGGAUAUAUUUUCCUGUAAAUACGGCGGUGAAGUUAGUUUUAGGUUGGAUAUAUUUUCCUGUAAAUAUGGCGGUGAAGUUAGUUUCAGGUUGGAUAUAUUUUCCUGUAAAUACGGCGGUGAAGUUAGUUUUAGGUUGGAUAUAUUUUCCUGUAAAUACGGCGGUGAAGUUAGUUUUAGGUUGGAUAUAUUUUCCUGUAAAUACGGCGGUGAAGUUAGUUUCAGGUUGGAUAUAUUUUCCUGUAAAUACGGCGGUGAAGUUAGUUUUAGGUUGGAUAUAUUUUCCUGUAAAUACGGCGGUGAAGUUAGUUUUAGGUUGGAUAUAUUUUCCUGUAAAUACGGCGGUGAAGUUAGUUUUAGGUUGGAUAUAUUUUCCUGUAAAUACGGCGGUGAAGUUAGUUUUAGGUUGGAUAUAUUUUCCUGUAAAUACGGCGGUGAAGUUAGUUUUAGGUUGGAUAUAUUUUCCUGUAAAUACGGCAGUGAAGUUAGUUUUAGGUUGGAUAUAUUUUCCUGUAAAUACGGCGGUGAAGUUAGUUUCAGGUUGGAUAUAUUUUCCUGUAAAUACGGCGGUGAAGUUAGUUUUAGGUUGGAUAUAUUUUCCUGUAAAUACAGCGGUGAAGUUAGUUUUAGGUUGGAUAUAUUUUCCUGUAAAUACGGUGGUGAAGUUAGUUUUAGGUUGGAUAUAUUUUCCUGUAAAUACGGCGGUGAAGUUAGUUUCAGGUUGGAUAUAUUUUCCUGUAAAUACGGCGGUGAAGUUAGUUUCAGGUUGGAUAUAUUUUCCUGUAAAUACGGCGGUGAAGUAAGUUUUAGGUUGGAUAUAUUUUCCUGUAAAUACGGCGGUGAAGUUAGUUUCAGGUUGGAUAUCUGACGGACAUUCUCUGAGGAUCUACCGGUGUCUUCUCACUCUCCAUAACCGGGAAUAACAACAGCAGCGCGGUUAAAUCUACUCGACACCCUCACUGUCAACGUCGGUGUUGAAUAAGGGACCGUCAAUAAAUUACCGGUG